rnacentral:rRNA from 1 species
AUUGAACGCUGGCGGCAGGCCUAACACAUGCAAGUCGAGCGGAUGAAGGGAGCUUGCUCGUGGAUUCAGCGGCGGACGGGUGAGUAAUGCCUAGGAAUCUGCCUGGUAGUGGGGGAUAACGUCCGGAAACGGGAGCUACUACCGCAUACGUCGUGAGGGAGCAAGUGGGGGAUCUUCGGACCUCACGCUUUCUGAUGAGACUAGGUCGGAUUCUCUAGUUGGUGGGGUAAAGGCCUACCAAGGCGACGAUCCGUAACUGGUCUGAGAGGAUGAGCAGUCACACUGUAACUGAGACACGGUCCAGACACCUACGGGAGGCAGCAGUGCGGAAUAUUGGACAAUGGGCGAGAGCCUGAUCCAGCCAUGCCGCGUGUGUGAAGAAGGUCUUCUGAUUGUAAAGCACUUUAAGUUGUAAGGUAGGGCAGUAAGUUAAUCCCUUGCUGUUUUGACGGUACCAACAGAAUAAGCACCGGCUAACUUCGUG